rnacentral:rRNA from 1 species
UACGGAGGGUGCGAGCGUUAAUCGGAAUUACUGGGCGUAAAGCGCACGCAGGCGGUUUGUUAAGCUAGAUGUGAAAGCCCCGGGCUCAACCUGGGAUGGUCAUUUAGAACUGGCAGACUAGAGUUUUGGAGAGGGGAGUGGAAUUCCAGGUGUAGCGGUGAAAUGCGUAGAUAUCUGGAGGAACAUCAGUGGCGAAGGCGACUCCCUGGCCAAAGACUGACGCUCAUGUGCGAAAGUGUGGGUAGCGAACAGG